AUCGCUUCUCGGCCUUUUGGCUAAGAUCAAGUGUAGAUUUAUGUUAUUCUUGACAGAUUUCUUCAUGAGGUAAAUAUAACAAUAAUUAAUAAAUGUCUAAUUGUACCUGAAUCCUU
ensembl:snRNA U2 U2 spliceosomal RNA